AUUGAACGCUGGCGGCAGGCUUAACACAUGCAAGUCGAACGAUGAAACUCUAGCUUGCUAGAGAUGAUUAGUGGCGGACGGGUGAGUAACAUUUAGGAAUCUGCCUAGUAGUGGGGGAUAGCUCGGGGAAACUCGAAUUAAUACCGCAUACGACCUAUGGGUGAAAGGGGGCGCAAGCUCUUGCUAUUAGAUGAGCCUAAAUCAGAUUAGCUAGUUGGUGGGGUAAAGGCCCACCAAGGCGACGAUCUGUAACUGGUCUGAGAGGAUGAUCAGUCACACCGGAACUGAGACACGGUCCGGACUCCUACGGGAGGCAGCAGUGGGGAAUAUUGGACAAUGGGGGCAACCCUGAUCCAGCCAUGCCGCGUGUGUGAAGAAGGCCUUUUGGUUGUAAAGCACUUUAAGCAGGGAGGAGAGGCUAAUGGUUAAUACCCAUUAGAUUAGACGUUACCUGCAGAAUAAGCACCGGCUAACUCUGUGCCAGCAGCCGCCGUAAUAC
rnacentral:rRNA from 1 species